CGGGAACCCGGCCCUGCGGGAGCGCGCGGCCUUCCCAAGGCGGCGGCGCGAGGCGGCCUGAGAGCGCGCCCGCGUGCACGUCCGCUCCCCCUCCCCCACUCCGCAGGGGACGACCCCAAAUCCUGCGAAGGCCUCAGGGCUCCUUAAACUUGUGGGGCUGGCGCGACCCUUAGAAUCCCGACCUCGAGUCCCGGGGCCACCGCCGUCCCUGCUUGUGGGGCGGGACGCAGAAACACUCCGGACGCCGGACCCCGGACCAGAGACCCCCACGGCCCGACUCAUGGAGGCGCCCAGUAACUUUGAAGUGAAAGACUGUUGAAGACCCCUGGCUCGCGUGAGUCGAGCUCCGAGGAGACGAACUCCUAAACCAGAGUUGGAGUUGGGAGCGUCCGCUUUGAACAUUUAGUUCCACCCCGAGGAGACGAUGUCCACCCAGCUCAGGUCCUCAUCUCCCUUCCUCUGGAGUCCUCUUCUGUAACCUCUCACCAUUGAGAGGCACCUUGCAAGACGAGAGGACUUAAAAUCUUACAUGUUACUGCCCAGCACAAAGGAGUUCGCAUGUGAUCUUUGCAGAUCAUCCCCUACCAGACUAAAUGUAUAAUGUGCUUAUGGAGCCAGAAGAAUGUUACUGCAGAAACAAGUGAAGAAUUCGGGUGAGCUUACAGAGGAAGGAGAGGUAAGAAGUAAAUACAAGGACAAAGCUCCAGUCCUGAGAUCACAAUAUUGGAGGGAAAUUGAUGACAAAAGGUGAAUGAAAACAUUUAUUCUGCAGAACCAAAAACCAUUCCAGUCUCACAUUUCCAAUACACAUAUCAAAAAACUAGCAUGAGGAAUUAAUUUGACCCGGUUACUGAAAUUCUUUAUGAAGCACUAAACAACACUUAACCCCAAAAGAUAAAACCUGGUUUUUUACAUAAUGUGUCAAUUUUCACAUUCCAGUCACUACAGUCUAACCAGCAGAAAGUUGACUGCAUGGCACAAAAAGAAAAACCAAGGUUCAGUGUGUUCCAGUGUCCUCUGAAAAAAAUGAUCUCAUUGCAAGGAUGACAACAGAAGAGGGAGUGACCAGUAUUUUCAUAGGUCUGUCCUACUCAAGGUCCCCAACCUGCCAGGACCCACCAAUUUAGUUUUAUAAAUCUUUCCCACUCUUUUCUACAUUGUGUAAGGGAAAGGAAUGAGUUGAAAAGGGAUGUCAUGUCCAACCUCCCGCCUAAGACUCACUGCUGAGGCCAGCUUUUUGUCCCCAAGUUCUCCAACCCCCGUGAGGCACUAUUUCACAGCCGUCUUCUUAGCCCCACAAAAUGGCUCCCUUUGUGCCACUUGCCCAGGACCCCAAGGCUGGCCGCACACGACAGCCGGUCUUGAUCAGUGAAGAAUAGAUGCCCAGAAAAAGUGGACCUAAGCUUCCUACAAGCCUUGAGCAGGAUCCCAGAAAUGCCUGUAUCCACCUUAAAAGAACAGUGUGCAAUUAGCCGAGACAAUGUGGACACCUUCCACCGGUUACAAACCCUUCCACCAAGUCAGGCAAGGGCUUGGAAAACGGUUCCAGUCCAAACACCCAGUGCCCUCUUCCCCAAAUGCGGUAGUCAGACUGGCCAGAAAGGCCCCGGCUUCCCAGGUGGAGAUAGUACGGAAGAGACAAUGGAUGUCUCCGGCCCCGCCCAAGAACAGGAACCCUCCUCCAGCUCGGGAACCCGGGCCAGCGAAGAACUCAUUUGGCAAACGUCAAAGGGGGAAGGGGAAGAGGUGGGAAGCAAAGACCAAGGUCCGAAGGUUUGAGCGCAGAAAACCCACUCGGACUGGCUCACCCCCCCUUUCGUGUUCGGGGGUGGGCGCGGGAGGGGAAGGAGCAGGGGUCUUUCCUUUGUUAGCAGAGGGGAAGCACUUCGCAGAGGGCUGACGGCUGCGUCCUGACGGGCGUGGGGGUCGCGAUGACCAGCCCCGACCGACCACAAAUAACACCUGCCGGGCGGGCCCCAGUGGGUAGGAGCCCGCAAGACUCGAUCGCUGCGGCCGCAAGAGAUGACUGCCGCGCCGGGCGCGGGGCCGCCACCUGCCCCGGGCCAGAGGCAGA